GCAUGUAUCCGUGUUCAUUCCCAUUCUCUCCAACCUCCUCUGAGGUAGCCAGUUUCCUGGCACCCCCACAGUUCGUGGGAGACUGCUGUCUAGUCAUUAGCCAUGACAGCUCAUCUGCCAGUGAUCUUCAAAACACAGCCGCGGGAUGGUGAGAACGCACUGCUCCAAAACAGCCGGAGCCUGCCUGAAACGGACAGUAUCUUCGGGCCCCUCAGCCUGCGGUCUCUGUGGCAACCUGAGAUAAUGUGUACAGAGUCUGGGACAGAAACCGUCAAGUCAGGUCUGGCUUUAGAGAAUGCCUCCCUCUCAGCCAUCCUGCUGAUACUCCUCCUCAUUCAGUGUCCUGACAAACCAACUGGGUGUGAAAGGCAUUUUCUCCAUUUUGAGAUACUCUGAGAAAUGAUGUAGGAGAGAACUUGACAGUUGACAGGUGUCAAGAGUGGUUACAUAGGGAUGACGUUCCUUUGGUGAAGACACUACUGGCCUCAAGGGCCUCCGGCCAAGGAUUUAACGAGGCUACGAGCUGUGUGAGCGGCUAUGGAAAGUCUCUCACCUCAGUGAGCUACAGAGAAGGAACUCAAACGCCCCUGAGGAACCCAAGCAUGUGUUCAACAAGCCCAGAGGACUUCCAGAACCAGAAAAUCAGAUCCUCUACUGGGAGGCUGAUGAGUCCCCAAAAGUAAGUUGAAGUUCGUUAUUAAAAGCUUUAUGGCUCAAAGAGGAGAUGGAAUUUCUAAGUCUUUUCCUUCCUGACGCUAGCUGGUUACUCCACUUCAUCUCAUCUGACUGCAAAGCCAUCCUGUCAGGGUGGAAAGAAGUCCCCUCAGAACAGAGCUGCUAAGAAGACUACUGUUGCUCAGAAAUGCUGGACCAGCUAGAAGAAAAGACAAAUGUGCCGAAGUGGGAAAGGAAAACACAAAGAAAGAUGUAAGAGCUCUGUUGGAAGAAAUCUUUUAUGAGGACCAGCUGCUAACUUUUGGAAGUUUAUAAAUCCAAAUGGGAAAACUAGUUCUUCUGAGU